rnacentral:rRNA from 1 species
UACGGAGGGUGCGAGCGUUGUUCGGAAUUAUUGGGCGUAAAGCGCGCGCAGGCGGGAUAUUAAGUCCGAUGUGAAAUCCCUCGGCUCAACCGAGGACGUGCAUUGGAUACUGGUAUUCUUGAGUCCUGGAGAGGGUGGCGGAAUUCCCAGUGUAGAGGUGAAAUUCGUAGAUAUUGGGAGGAACACCAGUGGCGAAGGCGGCCACCUGGACAGUGACUGACGCUGAGGCGCGAAAGCAUGGGUAGCAAACAGG